rnacentral:rRNA from 1 species
UACUCCUACGGGAGGCAGCAGUGGGGAAUUUUGGACAAUGGGCGCAAGCCUGAUCCAGCCAUGCCGCGUGUCUGAAGAAGGCCUUCGGGUUGUAAAGGACUUUUGUCAGGGAAGAAAAGGCUGUUGCUAAUAUCGACAGCUGAUGACGGUACCUAAAGAAUAAGCACCGGCUAACUACGUGCCAGCAGCCGCGGUAAUACGUAGGGUGCGAGCGUUAAUCGGAAUUACUGGGCGUAAAGCGAGCGCAGACGGUUACUUAAGCAGGAUGUGAAAUCCCCGGGCUCAACCUGGGAACUGCGUUCUGAACUGGGUGACUAGAGUGUGUCAGAGGGAGGUAGAAUUCCACGUGUAGCAGUGAAAUGCGUAGAGAUGUGGAGGAAUACCGAUGGCGAAGGCAGCCUCCUGGGAUAACACUGACGUUCAUGCUCGAAAGCGUGGGUAGCAAACAGGAUUAGAUACCA